rnacentral:rRNA from 1 species
GAUGAACGCUAGCUACAGGCUUAACACAUGCAAGUCGAGGGGAAACGACAUUGAAGCUUGCUUCGAUGGUCGUCGACCGGCGCACGGGUGAGUAACGCGUAUCCAACCUGCCUCUGACCAAGGGAUAACCCGUCGAAAGUCGGCCUAAUACCUUAUGCAGUCGUCGGAAGUCAUCUGAUGACGACGAAAGAUUUCAUCGGUGAGAGAUGGGGAUGCGUCUGAUUAGCUUGUUGGCGGGGUAACGGCCCACCAAGGCAACGAUCAGUAGGGGUUCUGAGAGGAAGGUCCCCCACAUUGGAACUGGGGCACGGGCCAAACGCCUACGGGAGGCAGCAGUGAGGAAUAUUGGUCAAUGGGCGAGAGCCUGAACCAGCCAAGUAGCGUGCAGGAUGACGGCCCUAUGGGUUGUAAACUGCUUUUAUGCGGGGAUAAAGUGAGGGACGUGUCCUUCAUUGCAGGUACCGCAUGAAUAAGGACCGGCUAAUUCCGUG